GAUGAAGAACGCAGCGAAAUGCGAUAAGUAAUGUGAAUUGCAGAGUUCAGUGAAUCAUCGAGUCUUUGAACGCACAUUGCGCCCCCUGGUAUUCCGGGGGGCAUGCCUGUCCGAGCGUCAUUGCUGCCCUCAAGCACGGCUUGUGUGUUGGGCCCCGUCCUCCGAUUCCGGGGGACGGGCCCGAAAGGCAGCGGCGGCACCGCGUCCGGUCCUCGAGCGUAUGGGGCUUUGUCACCCGCUCUGUAGGCCCGGCCGGCGCUUGCCGAUCAACCCAAAUUUUUAUCCAGGUUGACCUCGGAUCAGGUAGGGAUACCCGCUGAACUUAAGCAUAUCAAUAAGCGGAGGA
rnacentral:misc_RNA from 1 species